AGGCACAACCUACUGGGACACACAGGGCGCUGGAGGAAGGAGGAGGAGUAAUGCUCAGCCCCUGCCCCACUGUGCCUUCGGAAGCUGGUGACCAGCCAGCCAACAUUUCGAGGCAGGCACACAUCCUUUGGGAUUUAUGAAUCCAACUUCUUGCCUCCUGCAAAGCGAAAGGGGAUGAUUGGGCCAGGAGGAAGUGACUCGGGAAGGGCAGUUUUGCUGUAAGAACAGGAGGAACAAGUGUUGCAAGAAGAGGACGGAUGUUGGAUCUGAAGCUUUGAUGAUAAAAUUGGAUUGAGAGAGAGGCCACUGAUAGAUGAAGCUGUUUUCCACUGGGCAUGGACACUGUAUGAAGAUGAGUGAAUCGGGAAAGGACAAUGUCAGUGCCAGACCAGCUCUCCUCUUGGACCAUCUUGACCCUGUUCUCGAACUGAAGGCACUUGAAUGUACCUGAUGGCCCUCAACCACUAGACAUCAGUUGGAAGAAGAAAAGUUUUCCUUCUUCAACAGUUCAACAGUUUGGGUGAUAAGGACCGGAUGGUAGGGGUGCCCUGCUCACCUAGAGACUGUAGCUGAGAUCUUGGGACCUCUGACCAAGCUGACAGGUAAGUUUCCUUACCAGCCAGACUCCCAGGUCUCUCGGGGUCUGGUUGAGCAAAGGCAGUAAGAGCUUCUCUCUUUUUUUUUCUUUCCAGGGUUGAGAUUAGCAGGAGAAAAUACUUAACACGAACUAGUUCUUUGUAUAUUGUGACUCGGUUUUUUUUUUUUUUUUUUUUUUUGCUGUGAAGAUAUUUUUAUUUACUUUUUUUGAACUUUUGAAUUUUAUUUAUUUUUUAUACAGCAGGUUCUUAUUAGUUAUCCAUUUUAGGCAUAUUAGUGUAUACAUGUCAAUCCCAAACUCCCAGUUCAUCCCACCACCACCACCACUUUACCCACUUGGUGUCCAUAGGUUCGUCCUCUACAUCUGUGUCUCUAUUUCUGCCCUGCAAACCAGUUCAUCUGUACCAUUUUUCUAGUUUGAGUGCUCUUAUUGUAGAUCCUUUCCCUCCCAGGGAUAGCCACUCUGUCCUAUCUGUUCAUCUUUGUGUGUCCUGAGAGCUUGGUUUGUAUCUAGUAAGUACAUUCACUCUCUGGUUUUCUGUCUGCCCAGGGAUGCAGAUUUUUGGGUCUGUGUUCAGAAGAAGCCAAACAUAGGUUGAGAUCAUGAGAAUCUGUAGACUUCAGGACAAAUAUGUGAGGAGACUGGGCACCCCAUUUGUGGCUGGUAUCCUGCUAACCAUUACCAGCUCUUAGUGCGUUCAUCUCAGUCUAGAUAAAGGGUCUUAGUCCGUAAGGACCUUAUCCUCUGUUUCCUCGUUGCCUUGCUUGUGCUGGGAAGUCCUAUCCCAGUAUCACCUGCCUGGUGUCAGACACAGAUCAGAAGGUCUGUAACUGGAGGUGUCUCACUUUAAAACACACAAAAAAAUUAUUUUCUUUAUUUUUUUGGCUGCAUCAGGUCUUUGUUGCAGCAUGUGGGAUUGUGGCGUGUGGGUUUUCUCUCUCUAGUUGUGGCGCGCAGGCUCAGGGCGCAUAGGCUCUGUAGUUGUGGCGUGCGGGCUUAGUUGCCCUGUGGCAUGUUGGAUCUUAGGUACCAGACCAGGGAUCGAACCCGCGUCCCCUGCAUUGGAAAGUGGAUUCUUUACCACCGGAACACCAGGGAAGUCCCGAGGUAGCUCACUUUUAUGGGAAACUAGAGACACAUGUUUUCACAAACACCACUCCCAUCACCUGUGGCAAAUGAGAUUCUUUGCUUUCUUUCUCUUUGGCUAUUGAUGGGAGUGACUAAAUUAUGGGUCUUCAUUUUCUGCACCCUUUUGGGGGGUUGCCUCUUGUGUCCAUGGCUAAAUCAUUAAAAGGUCCAUUGGUUUUGAGGCACAUUUUAGAAUACAUAUACGUUUGCAGAUCCUAAGUCGUCAGUGGCUAGACAACAGAUCUUUUGAUUUGAAAAAGAGUUUAUAUUUGUAAGAAUUUUUAGAGAACUCUCACCCUAAACAAAUAUCCUAUUACCAGUAUGGAAAAAUCAAACUGAAAGGAGGACAUAAAGAAAGAUCACAGCUAGCUUAAAAGUCUCCCUUAACAAAAUUAAAGAACAGAAAUCAAAAUCUAUAUCCACCAUAAACUCCCUCCUCCACCUCCCUGCUACAAAUGGCCCACUUGGGCCUUUCCCCUGAAGGUUAAUUGGGCUAAAGUGGAAUGAAGUACUCAGAGGGAAGGAAUACAUCCUAAAGCCUUUGUUGAACGAUUUAUAAAAACAUUCCAAAGACACAGAGCUCUAAAUCCAGAAGCCCUGGAACAUAGGAAUCUUGGUUUCUGCCUUAAUUGGAACUCUCUCUGAUAUACGUAAGAAUUUCAAAAUAAUAUAGUUGGAUGGGUAGGCCAGCCCCUUAAUAUCACUAUUGAGGCUGCCACUCAAUUCUUUGAAGAAUUAAAAAUACCUGUCCUGGGCUUCCCUGGUGGCACAGUGGUUGAGAGUCCGCCUGCCGAUGCAGGGGACACGGGUUCGUGCCCCGGUCCGGGAGGAUCCCACAUGCCGCGGAGCGGCUGGGCCCGUGAGCCAUGGCCGCUAAGCCUGUGCGUCCGGAGCCUGUGGUCCACAAUGGGAGAGGCCGCAACAGUGAGAGGCCCGCGUACCGGAAAAAAAAUUAAAAAUCUGUCCUUAUCUUACUAACCAAGUCUUUAUAAAAUCAGAAAUAUGGCUCUAGAAGUAACCCAAAGUACACCCAUCUUUCUGACCAGUUCCAAAGCCUCCCCUAUUCAUCUCAAGAUACUUGCUGAUACUUUAAGAAGUCAGGAUGUUGGAAAAGGGACUGACCUGAACUUAAGAAAAAGGGACACAAAUAGUAAUUACGCUAGGCCUCAGCCUCCUCAGUCCCGCUCCUCUGAAACCUCUUCGCAACUAGGCCUCAACCUGGGCCAAUUAGAAACUACAGACUCUCAACACAAAUAAUUCUGCCCACCUACUACAUCCCCCUCUCCCCCUCCCCCCUUAAAAAUGCCUGUUUGCAAAGGCUCAGUGCUCCCAGACGAAUUUACUGUUGUCCCAGCCAAAAUCUGGUAAUAGGCAAAUAUGCCCCUGAAAACGCUCUUAGAGCAGUUAUUUUAAAAGGUUGCUUUCUUCCUCUCCCUCUUUGAGAUGUAAAUCUUCUACCACCCAGAACCAUCUUCUCCAGGACCCGAGAGCCAUCUCUUUAAAAUGCAAACAUCCAAGGAAAUUAGGCUGGCUCUCAGCCUGAGGGAUCCCUUGCUUUUAAUUGUACUAUUGCUUUCUGUCAUAAAAUAUAAGAAAUUUAUUUCUCCUCUUAAUAAAAACCAAUUAAUAUCCCCCUUUAAUGAGCCCCCAGUGCUCUUUUCCUUAGCACUCCCCGGGCUUUAAAAAGUAACUUCUCGGGACUUCCCUGGUGGUCCAGCAGUUAAGACUCUGCGCUCCCAAUGCAGGGGGCCCAGCUUCGAUCCCUGGUCAGGGAACUAGAUCCUGCACGCCGCAACUAAAAAGAUCCUGCACGCGGCAACUAAGACCCGGCAUAGCCCAACAAACAAACAAAUAAAUAAACAGUAACUUCUCAGGCCACUAAAACAACCACCUGAGUGAGACUGAACUACAGCCCCCACUGAUUAUACAUCAAGGCAAAGAAAAGGUCUUAAAGGUCUCCCCCACAAAUAUUGGUAAAAAGCUUUAGCCCAUAGGUUGAACAAAUAACAACUCAUUUCAUCUGCUAGAAACAUAGUCUGAAUAAAAAGUGGGACAAAGACAAACACUAAUUCUUACCUAAACUAAUAAAUUUUGGAUUACUAUGAAAGCUGUAAGGUCUCUAUUUGUGUCUGCAUGUAUGCUAAUGUCUGUCUAUGUAUGUAAUAUGUAUAUGUGGUAUUUUCUUACCCCUGGAUGGUAUAGCCAAAUUAAUUUAUAAAAUUCCUUAAAAGAGCUCUACUUUAAUUGGCUUAGAGAAAAAUAAAAACAUAUAAAUGAAAUUUUCCUAAAACUCAGAAAUCUAAAUUUUUUUUCAAAUUCACAUGAUUUGGGUAAAUCUUUAGUAAAUAAGACUAGUUUAAUAUCAUUUGUUUAAUAAUAAAAAUAACUGUUUCUUCUGAGUUAUCAGCAUUAUGAUACAAACAUAUAUUUUCAGACUACUUGGGUUUACUAAUCAAAUAAGCUAUUAUUUACUAUAUGUUUAAGAUUAUAAAACUUACAGAUUUUAUUUUUUUUAUUGGAGUAUAGUUGCUUUACAAUGUUGUGUUAGUUUGUGUUGUAUGGCAAAGUGAAUCAGCCACACGUAUAUAUAUAUCCCCUCUUUUUUGGAUUUCCUUCCCAUUUAGGUCACUACA